AUUUUUUUUAAAUUGAUUUUUUAAUCAAUUUUUUGCCCCCAAAGCCUGACUCAAUUUUUAGGGCUUUUUGCAUAGUAGAAAAUUUCAAUCCUGUUUAAAAAUUGGGUCUGUUUUCCCCAGGUCAGCCUGCAGUGUAGAAUAGUACAGUGUGAACACCAUAAGGGUUUCAUUGGAAUUCUGUUUUGAUCGUUAAAAGCAAUAGAAGAUAAACUGCUUAGUAGCUCUUCACAACCACAUAAAUUGGAUGUCCAACAGUGCAAAACUCCAAAAUGCAUCUUUUAAACCUGUGAAAAGGAGCAUUAGAGACAGAAUUUAGAAUUUGUUUCAAUUGAGUUGACAGUAAUCCCAGAUACAAGGAAGGGAGUGUCCUAGGUACUAUUCAUUUCUUUGAAAAUUGAUAUUAUGGCUGAAACUAGUCAAUAGCUCUGGAAAGCAAAGCUAACAUAUUCAUGAGUUGCCCUGGAGUUUCUGUGCUUUAAUUUAAAGUUGUUUGUUAAAAUCAUGCUAACUCCACCAUGAAACUGACUUUGG
rnacentral:lncRNA from 1 species